rnacentral:rRNA from 1 species
AUUGAACGCUGGCGGCAUGCCUUACACAUGCAAGUCGAACGGUAACGCGGGGCAACCUGGCGACGAGUGGCGAACGGGUGAGUAAUGUAUCGGAACGUGCCCAGUUGUGGGGGAUAACUGCUCGAAAGAGCAGCUAAUACCGCAUACGACCUGAGGGUGAAAGCGGGGGAUCGCAAGACCUCGCGCAGCUGGAGCGGCCGAUAGCAGAUUAGGUAGUUGGUGGGGUAAAGGCUCACCAAGCCAACGAUCUGUAGCUGGUCUGAGAGGACGACCAGCCGCACUGGGACUGAGACACGGCCCAGACUCCUACGGGAGGCAGCAGUGGGGAAUUUUGGACAAUGGGCGCAAGCCUGAUCCAGCCAUGCCGCGUGCGGGAAGAAGGCCUUCGGGUUGUAAACCGCUUUUGUCAGGGAAGAAAAGACUCCUGUUAAUACCGGGGGUUCAUGACGGUACCUGAAGAAUAAGCACCGGCUAACUACGUGCCAGCCGCCGCCGUAAAAC